CACGUAGGCACCAAGCGUUGUCCGGAUUUCUUGGGCGUAAAGAGCUCGUAGGCGGUUCAGUAAGUCGGGUGUGAAAACUCUGGGCUCAACCCAGAGACGCCACCCGAUACUGCUGUGACUUGAGUACGGUAGGGGAGUGGGGAAUUCCUGGUGUAGCGGUGAAAUGCGCAGAUAUCAGGAGGAACACCAGUGGCGAAGGCGCCACUCUGGGCCGUAACUGACGCUGAGGAGCGAAAGCGUGGGUAGCAAACAGG
rnacentral:rRNA from 1 species